GUACCGUGAGGGAAAGGCGAAAAGAACCCCGGCGAGGGGAGUGAAAAAGAACCUGAAACCGUGUACGUACAAGCAGUGGGAGCCUCUUAAUGGGGUGACUGCGUACCUUUUGUAUAAUGGGUCAGCGACUUAUAUUCUGUAGCAAGGUUAACCGAAUAGGGGAGCCGAAGGGAAACCGAGUCUUAACUGGGCGUUAAGUUGCAGGGUAUAGACCCGAAACCCGGUGAUCUAGCCAUGGGCAGGUUGAAGGUUGGGUAACACUAACUGGAGGACCGAACCGACUAAUGUUGAAAAAUUAGCGGAUGACUUGUGGCUGGGGGUGAAAGGCCAAUCAAACCGGGAGAUAGCUGGUUCUCCCCGAAAGCUAUUUAGGUAGCGCCUCGUGAAUUCAUCUCCGGGGGUAGAGCACUGUUUCGGCAAGGGGGUCAUCCCGACUUACCAACCCGAUGCAAACUGCGAAUACCGGAGAAUGUUAUCACGGGAGACACACGGCGGGUGCUAACGUCCGUCGUGAAGAGGGAAACAACCCAGACCGCCAGCUAAGGUCCCAAAGUCAUGGUUAAGUGGGAAACGAUGUGGGAAGGCCCAGACAGCCAGGAUGUUGGCUUAGAAGCAGCCAUCAUUUAAAGAAAGCGUAAUAGCUCACUGGUCGAGUCGGCCUGCGCGGAAGAUGUAACGGGGCUAAACCAUGCACCGAAGCUGCGGCAGCGACACUAUGUGUUGUUGGGUAGGGGAGCGUUCUGUAAGCCUGUGAAGGUGGCCUGUGAGGGUUGCUGGAGGUAUCAGAAGUGCGAAUGCUGACAUAAGUAACGAUAAAGCGGGUGAAAAGCCCGCUCGCCGGAAGACCAAGGGUUCCUGUCCAACGUUAAUCGGGGCAGGGUGAGUCGACCCCUAAGGCGAGGCCGAAAGGCGUAGUCGAUGGGAAACAGGUUAAUAUUCCUGUACUUGGUGUUACUGCGAAGGGGGGACGGAGAAGGCUAUGUUGGCCGGGCGACGGUUGUCCCGGUUUAAGCGUGUAGGCUGGUUUUCCAGGCAAAUCCGGAAAACC
rnacentral:rRNA from 1 species